UGGGAAGAGAUGAGAGUCUUAAGAAGAAGCUCCUGAUUAGGGCAGGAUCAGAAAGCCAAAGCACAUCGGUAGAAGGGAGGUAGAGUUUGUAGAGGAGGUUAUAGGGCAGAGAGGGCCACAGAGUCUUUUUCUACUUGGUUUUCUGAUCCCUGAUUAAUACUAACUUCCCACCAAGCUGGCAGUGGUUGGGGACUGGGGAACAUCCAGGCUUUCCAGGGCAAUGACACGCCGAUAUCUGUGCCCUGAGACCUUUAAGAAAGCAGCGGUCAUGAAGAAAGGAGACUUAAAAAAAAACUGAUCACCUCUGUCUCUUUCUAGUGUUUUGUUCAGAUUUCCAAAUUGCGUUAGUAUGGCAAACAGCCUCUAGGUGCAUUUGCUUGCAAGACAACUGCUGGACUUCUUUCCAGCAGAUCUCUGCACCCUCCCUUCCUGAUGCAGAGUCAGACGAACAGAAAGAGCUGGAGUGUCUGUCAUGACCAUCCCGGGGCUAUGAAGGGAGAAAACAAGUUCAUUUACUUUCUAUUUGGGAGAUUAAUGGAUCCAUUGCCCCUGUUCAUAACCACAUCUCUGCUGACAUUUCAGGGGCCUCCGAUGGAAGAACAGAAGGAAAAUCAGCUGGACUAUGAGUCAGAAAAAAUGGAAAUCUUGAGAUUGGCCCAAUCAAAGAAGAACAUUAUCAGCUUGAACAUGGACCUCGAAAGGGAUAUGCAGAGAAUAGAUGAAGCCAACCAGGAGCUGCUUCUCGAGAUACAAGAAAAAGAAAAUGAAAUCCAGAGGCUAGAACAUGAGAUCACCCAGACUGGGAACCCUGCAGAAGACGAGGAGUGGGAGAAGGAAAACUAUACUGUGAUGGAAAGAGAACAAGCUCUGCAGGAGCUGGAGGAAGAAACAGCCAGAUUGGAGAGGAAGAAUGAGACUCUGGUCCACAGUAUUUCAGAACUUCAGAGAAAGCUUACAAGAAAAUCACAAAAGGUAAUCAGGUAUGAACAAGGUGAUCUAGAAACAACCCCAGAAGAGUCCAAGGUUAAACUACAACAGUUGGAGUCUUCCUGUGCAGACCAGGAGAAGGAGCUCGGCAAGAUAAUGGAAGACUAUGUGUUUGUGUCUCAGCUCUGUGAAGAUCAAGCUCUCUGCAUAAAGAAGUACCAGGAAGCUUUGAAGAGGAUAGAAGAAGAACUAGAAACUGGAUACCUUGAGAGAGAAGUGUGAGCAUCCAUCCUGUUUGGUGGUUAACCCCUUCUUGGCUGAGUCAGCACGAACUCUGCCAAGGUCCCCUCUGGAGCUGAAUGAGCCUCUCCUCUUGUUAUCUGAUGAGAAUCAGAGUCCUAAAAGACUAUAGAAACACAUCUUCCUUCAUAGCUUUAGCACACGGCUACAUUGUAAUAGCAUAGACAUGAAUUUUAAAAAGUGGUGCUGUCUGGAAUCCUUGGUAAGAUCAAAAGUCUUAAGCAUGGAUUCUGAGAGAGAAAGGAGUACGAGCCUAAAUAAGAUGGAUGGCUUCAUCAGUAAAGGGGCACUGAGGUUCAGUAAAAGUAUUUUUCGUUCCCUCUUGUUCUCCACGCUGUUUUUCAUCAGAUUGCUGGGAUACCUGAUCUUCCAUUUAAGUUUUAUAAAUCCCGACCUCCUGGUCAACGCGCUGCCUAAGAUACUGAGCAGGGACGUCUUGUGGAAGCUGAGAUGUUUCCUCUUCCCAUCUCUCACGCUUGAGACAGAAGACAUGUUACCUCACUGAUCCCCAAGCCAUACCUGAGGGCAGCGGAAGGCAGGAGGGAUGAAGGCUUGCAAAUGGGAAGUGGCAAAAUCUGUGGAGGGGAGAAGUGUGUCUCAGCUCUUCCCUCGAGGUUGGCCUACUUAGUGACCAUCUGUCUCAGUGUCACGUUUCCAGGAUUAACCUUGCCCAGUAAAGAACUCUGUCAAUAAGUCUCUG